rnacentral:rRNA from 1 species
UACGUAGGGGGCUAGCGUUGUCCGGAAUCAUUGGGCGUAAAGCGCGUGUAGGCGGCCCGGUAAGUCCGCUGUGAAAGUCGGGGGCUCAACCCUCGGAUGCCGGUGGAUACUGUCGGGCUAGAGUACGGAAGAGGCGAGUGGAAUUCCUGGUGGUAGCGGUGAAAUGGCGCAGAUAUCAGGAGGAACACCAAUUGCGAAGGCAGCUCGCUGGGACGUCACUGACGCUGAGACGCGAAAGCGUGGGGAGCAAACAGG